ACUGCCGUAAAACCCCCCAAUCAACUUUGUUACAGUUGACCUCGAAUCAGGUAGGACUACCCGCUGAACUUAAGCAUAUCAUAGAAGG
rnacentral:rRNA from 1 species